AUUGAACGCUGGCGGCAGGCCUAACACAUGCAAGUCGAACGCGUGGCUGACGGGUGAGUAAUGUCUGGGAAACUGCCCGAUGGAGGGGGAUAACUGCUGGACACGGUAGCUAAUACCGCAUACCCUCGGAUGUGCCCAGAUGGGAUUAGCUAGUAGGUGGGGUAACGGCUCACCUAGGCGACGAUCCCUAGCUGGUCUGAGAGGAUGACCAGCAACACUGGAACGGAGACACGGUCCAGACUCCUACGGGAGGAAGCAUUGUGGAAGAUUGCACAAUGGGCGCAAGCCUGAUGCAGCCAUGCCGCGUGUAUGAAGAAGGCCUUCGUGUUGUAAAGUACUUUCAUCGAGGAGGCGUUACUCGCAGAAGAAGCACCGGCUAACUCCAUGCCAGCAGCCGCGGUAAUUC
rnacentral:rRNA from 1 species